AGAGUUUGAUCAUGGCUCAGGAUGAACGCUAGCGGGAGGCUUAACACAUGCAAGUCGAGCGGUAUAAGUAGCAAUACUUAGAGAGCGGCGCACGGGUGAGUAACGCGUAUGCAACCUACCUUUUACAGGGGAAUAGCCCGGGGAAACCCGGAUUAAUACCCCAUAGUACUUAAUCAUCGCAUGAUGGUUUUGUUAAAGCUUCGGCGGUAAAAGAUGGGCAUGCGUGACAUUAGAUUGUUGGCGGGGUAACGGCCCACCAAGUCUGCGAUGUCUAGGGGUUCUGAGAGGAUGAUCCCCCACACUGGUACUGAGACACGGACCAGACUCCUACGGGAGGCAGCAGUGAGGAAUAUUGGUCAAUGGGGCGCAAGCCUGAACCAGCCAUCCCGCGUGAAGGAAGACUGCCCUAUGGGUUGUAAACUUCUUUUCUGUACCAAGAAUUGCCCCUACGUGUAGGGGAUUGACGGUAGUACAGGAAUAAGCAUCGGCUAACUCCGUGCCAGCAGCCGCGGUAAUACGGAGGAUGCGAGCGUUAUCCGGAUUUAUUGGGUUUAAAGGGUGCGUAGGCGGCUUUUUAAGUCAGUGGUGAAAUCCUGCGGCUCAACCGUAGAACUGCCAUUGAUACUGAAGAGCUUGAAUACAAUUGAGGUAGGCGGAAUGAGUAGUGUAGCGGUGAAAUGCUUAGAUAUUACUCAGCACACCGAUUGCGAAGGCAGCUUACCAAACUGAUAUUGACGCUGAGCACGAAGCGUGGGGAGCGAACAGGAUUAGAUACCCUGGUAGUCCACGCCGUAACGAUGUUCACUCGCUGUAUGCGAUACACAGUAUGCGGCCAGCGAAAGCA
rnacentral:rRNA from 1 species